rnacentral:rRNA from 1 species
GAUGAACGCUGGCGGCGUGCUUAACACAUGCAAGUCGAACGGAAAGGCUCCUGCUUGCAGGGGUACUCGAGUGGCGAACGGGUGAGUAACACGUGGGUGAUCUGCCCUGCACUUCGGGAUAAGCCUGGGAAACUGGGUCUAAUACCGGAUAGGACGAUGGUUUGGAUGCCAUUGUGGAAAGUUUUUCGGUGUGGGAUGAGCUCGCGGCCUAUCAGCUUGUUGGUGGGGUAAUGGCCUACCAAGGCGUCGACGGGUAGCCGGCCUGAGGGUGUACGGCCACAUUGGGACUGAGAUACGGCCCAGACUCCUACGGGAGGCAGCAGUGGGGAAUAUUGCACAAUGGGCGCAAGCCUGAUGCAGCGACGCCGCGUGGGGGAUGACGGCCUUCGGGUUGUAAACUCCUUUCGUCAGGGACGAAGCGAAAGUGACGGUACCUGGAUAAGAAGCACCGGCUAACUACGUG